CGAGCGCAACCCCUGCUGCCUGUUGCCACCACGAGAGGUGGGGACUCAGGCGGGACCGCCGGUGACAAACCGGAGGAAGGUGGGGACGACGUCAAGUCAUCAUGGCCCUUAUGUCCUGGGCUACACACGUGCUACAAUGGCCGGUACAGAGCGCAGCGAGGCCGCGAGGCGGAGCGAAUCGCUUAAAGCCGGUCCCAGUACGGAUUGGAGUCUGCAACCCGACUCCAUGAAGUUGGAAUCGCUAGUAAUCGCGCAUCAGCAUGGCGCGGUGAAUACGUUCCCGGGCCUU
rnacentral:rRNA from 1 species